AUACGGAGGGUGCGAGCGUUAAUCGGAAUUACUGGGCGUAAAGCGUACGUAGGCGGUUUGCUAAGUCAGAUGUGAAAGCCCCGGGCUUAACCUGGGGACUGCAUUUGAUACUGGCAGACUAGAGUAUGAUAGAGGGGGGUAGAAUUCCUGGUGUAGCGGUGAAAUGCGUAGAUAUCAGGAGGAAUACCAGUGGCGAAGGCGGCCCCCUGGAUCAAUACUGACGCUGAGGUACGAAAGCGUGGGGAGCGAACAGGAUUAGAAACCCUUGUAGUCC
rnacentral:rRNA from 1 species